CUUUGGUGCUGGACUAACUGAAUUUUUAAUUCAGUGAUGGAAGGCUUCUGGGUAUAGUCAAGUACUUGCAAAGCUAAAGUGUGACCAAGAUGGGAUUGACCACUCCAAGAAUUGGAGAAGAAUGAGUCACUGUAUUUCAAUUUAGCAAAAUCUUAGCCAAGGUAAUCCAUCGGAUGGAUUUGAUAUUUUAAAAUAUAAUGUAGACA
rnacentral:lncRNA from 1 species